AGCGGCGCGGGGCGUAUCGGGGCGCGCGGGAGGACGGCAUAAGCGAUAUUGGGUUUUAUUAAGUAUGAAUGCAGCGUCUGACAGCAAACACCGUAUUUCCCGCGCGCCGCUCGCUUGUCCCACAUUCACGAACAUUACAACAAAUGCAAAUAGUGACACAAUUAACAUAUUGAUUCAAGGUUAAAAUUGGACAGAACAAUAUCAGGUUAGGGAUUUAAAAGUUACAUACAAGCAAAGGAGGAUAGACGGUUACAGUAAAAAACGGGCGGUUAAAACAGUGGAAGUGUACGAGGAAGCCAAGGUCAAGGGAUGAGUUCCCCAAGCGCUGACCAGACCUAGCCUAUUGCUUUCGUGCCGCAAACAGACAGGUUACGAAGAGGAGGAGGCAGGUCAUUCCAGCACCUAGUGGCGCAGAACCUAAAGCUUCCUCGGAAACUCACCGUUCUAUGUAUUGGCAUUCUAAGUUUUAUCAAUGACGCUCUAGUGACAUGCUCACUAUCAUUAUUUCCUAACCACUGUAAUUUAUGAUAGAGGUAAGGUGGAACCUGGUAUUUUAUAGUGCCAAAAAGUAACGUAGCGAAAUGUAAUUGCAUACGAUAAUUCAUUUUUAAGAUGUUAGCAUUAUUUAAAUAUGGUGUGAUAUGUGUACGUGGCGGUAUUUUAAAGCAGUAGCGAGCGCAGGCGUUCUGGACUCGUUGGAUGAUUUUUUUUUGUACGUUCAAGUAAACGGGGCCCUAUAACUACAUCUGCAUAAUUAAAUUUAGAAAGAACUAACGCCUCACAAAGUCUAAUGCGUACUUUGGUAGAAAUGGAGUCUCUAAUAUUAUAAAGAAUUUUUAACCUAUAAAAACAGUUUUUGGCAAUAUUAUUUACAUGCUUUUCAAAACGAAGUUCCUCGUCAAAUAGAACACCUAGGUUGCGCGCUUCAGUCACCCUUUGUAUACGUACACCUUUUAUAUCAAUAUUUGGAUCACAAUUACUAAUAAUUUGAAUUUGCCGCUCUGUACCAAGUAUCAUGUAUUUAGUUUUGUUAGGGUUCAUUUCUAGCGUGUUUGAAAUUGACCAACGGGCUAUACGAUCCAAAUCUUGGUUGAGUUGUUGCAAAGCUGCUUGUACCUUACAUGGCUUAAAAGAAAUAUACAACUGCAGAUCAUCAGCAUACAAGUGAUAGUUGCAGUGAUUAAUUUGUUUUACAAUAUCAGUUGUAUAAAUCGUAAAUAAAAUUGGUCCUAAAAUAGAGCCUUGUGGUACUCCUCUAGUUACAUGCCUUAUGUCAGAUUUAGCAACACUCCCAUCUUCUGACUUAAUCUCUACGUAUUGGCUGCGGCAACUCAUAUAACUCGCAAACCAUUGUACAGUUUUGUCGUCGAACCCAUAAUAUGACAGCUUUGAUAUCAACAAUGGAAUGUUUAUGGUGUCAAACGCACGAGAGUAGUCUAGGAGUACUAGUAUAGUACCCUCGCCCCUGUCUCGAG